UACAGAGGUGGCAAGCGUUGUUCGGAAUUACUGGGCGUAAAGAGCGUGUAGGCGGCCCGGUAAGUCCGCUGUGAAAGUCGGGGGCUCAACCCUCGAAUGCCGGUGGAUACUGUCGGGCUAGAGUGCGGAAGAGGCGAGUGGAAUUCCUGGUGUAGCGGUGAAAUGCGCAGAUAUCAGGAGGAACACCAAUUGCGAAGGCAGCUCGCUGGGACGUAACUGACGCUGAGACGCGAAAGCGUGGGGAGCAAACAGG
rnacentral:rRNA from 1 species